AAACGUAGGAGGCUAGCGUUAUCCGGAUUUAUUGGGCGUAAAGCGCGUGCAGGCGGUUUAGCAAGUUGGAUGUGAAAGCUCCUGGCUUAACUGGGAGAGGUCGCUCAAAACUGCUAGACUAGAGAAUGGGAGAGGGAGGUGGAAUUCCGGGUGUAGUGGUGAAAUGCGUAGAUAUCCGGAGGAACACCAGUGGCGAAAGCGGCCUCCUGGACCACUUCUGACGCUAAGACGCGAAAGCUAGGGUAGCAAACGGGAUUAGAGACCCCGGUAGUCCUAGCUGUAAACGAUGUAGACUUGGCGUUGGCGGAGUUAAAUCUGCCAGUGCCGUAGCCAACGCGAUAAGUCUACCGCCUGGGGACUACGACCGCAAGGUUAAA
rnacentral:rRNA from 1 species